rfam:Stegodyphus mimosarum contig120285, whole genome shotgun sequence.
GCUUUCGUAGUGUAACGGUAACAUACUCGGUGCGUAUUCCACAGGUCCAGGUUCGAUUCCCGGCGAGGGCA